GAUGAAGAACGUAGCGAAAUGCGAUAAGUAAUGUGGAUGAACGCACAUUGCGCCCGCCAGCAUUCUGGCGGGCAUGCCUGUUCGAGCGUCAUUUCAACCCUCGAGCCCCCCCCCCGGGGCCUCGGUGUUGGGGAACGGCACACCGGCCGCCCCCGAAAUGCAGUGGCGACCCCGCCACAGCCUCCCCUGCGUGGUAGCACACACCUCGCACCGGAGCGCGGAGGCGGUCACGCCGUAAAACGCCCAACUUUCUUAGAGUUGACCUCGGAUCAGGUAGGAAUACCCGCUGAACUUAAGCAUAUCAAUAAGCGGAGGA
rnacentral:misc_RNA from 1 species